AUGGCCAUGCAGCAACUCGUGUGCUGGCUCUGCGCCUUCCUGGCCCUCCUCCUCCUCAAGCUUAUUAAGAAGCGUGGCGCCAGGACGACGGCGCCGGCGCUGAAGCUGCCGCCAAGCCCGUCGUCGCUGCCGUUCAUCCACAACCUGCACCACCUCCUCCGCAGCCCGAUCGCGCACCGCGCCGUGGCCGACAUCGCGCGCGAGCUGGACGCGCCGCUCAUGUACCUCCAGCUCGGGGAGCUCCCGGCCGUGUUCGUCUCGUCCGCGGACGCCGCGCGCGAGAUGAUGAAGGUGCACGACAUGAAGUUCGCCUGGCGGCCGUAUCCACCCACCAUACAGAAGCUGCGCCCCAUGGGGAAGGGGAUCUUCUUCGCGCCGUACGGCGCUCUGUGGCGGCAGCUCCGCAAGAUCUCCAUCGUGAAGCUGCUCAGCGUCCGGCGCGUCCACUCGUUCCACCGCGUGCGGGAGGAGGAGGCCGGCCGCCUCGUAGCCGCCAUCGCCGCCACGCCGCCGGGAGAAACCGUCAACCUCUGCGAGCAGAUCUUUUGGGUCAUCGCGGACUCGACGAUGCGCACCAUGAUCGGCGAGAGGUUCGAGAGGAGGGACGAGUUCCUGGUGGUGUUGGCGGACAUCGUCAAGAUCGCAUCGGGUUUCACCAUGGCCGAAUGGUUCCCGUCAUCGUGGCUCGUGCGCGCCUUCGGUGGCACGAGGCGGCGCGGCCACAGGGGCUACCUCACGACCUACAAGCUGGUGGAGAACGCCUACCGGCAGCGACAGAAGCGAAAGGAGGCCAUGGCUGCACCGUCGACCAGGAACGCCGUGACGGGAGAGGAGGAGGACCUGAUGGACGAGCUCAUGAGGAUACACGAGGAAGGUGACCUCGAGGUGCCUCUCACCAUUGGCAACAUCAAGGCUGUCACGAUAGAUCUCUUUGGCGCCGGGACGGAGACGUCAUCAGAUGCACUCCAAUGGGCGAUGUCAGAGCUGAUGAGGAACCCGAGAGUGAUGCAGAAAGCACAGGCCGAGCUGCGCGACAAACUCCGCGGGAAGCCUACCGUGACCGAGGCCGACCUGGCCGACAUGACUUACCUGAAGCUCGUCGUCAAGGAGACCCUGAGGCUGCACCCGGCGCUGCCAUUGCUCGUCCCAAGGGAGUGCAACGAGAGUGCAAGAUCAUGGGGUACGACGUGCCCAAAGGCUUCGUCGUGUUCGUGA
rnacentral:rRNA from 1 species